UACGUAGGUGACAAGCGUUGUCCGGAUUUACUGGGCUUAAAGAGUUCGUAGGCGGCGCAGAAAGUAGGGUGUGAAAGCCCUCGGCUUAACCGAGGAAUUGCGCUCUAAACUACUGUGCUUGAGGAACCUAGAGGUGAGCAGAACUGAUGGUGGAGCGGUGAAAUGCGUUGAUAUCAUCAGGAAUACCGGAGGCGAAGGCGGCUCACUGGGGGUUUUCUGACGCUGAGGAACGAAAGCCAGGGGAGCGAACGGG
rnacentral:rRNA from 1 species